ACACUGAACAAGGAAUUGGGGAACCUUUGUUCUGCCACUUCUUUCCCUAAUUAACUAAUGAACAUAUGCAUUCCCUCUGAUUUAUCUCCUGUGUGAAGUGAUAGGUUAUUUUAUCCCAAAUCUUAUUGUCAAGUUCUAAAAUAUAAAAAUUCUGUGAUUCUUAGAUAUACAAAAUGAAUGGAUAGAGCUACAUGUUCCAAGAAUUCAGGAGAUAUUCUUCCCAACUAACUCUUGUAAACUGAGAUACCUGAUGCUGCAAAAUACAUUUCAGGAUCCCAGUGACACAGUCAACUUCUUAGUCGCCAAGGAAUGGCCCUUCAGCAUGAAGGCAUGUCAGGAUCCUCUCAUGGUUGGCUGCUGGAAGCUGAGCCACCCACUUUUAUGUUUUAACUAGCAAAGGUCUUAUGGAGGCCACUCUGUGGCAUGCCCUAGGAAGGCAAGUUAACCAAUGAAUGUUGGCUUGAGUACGUGUGUGAGAGUGCUACAGUGACAGCAGCCCAACAGGUAACUGUACUAUUCUGUGUAGCAUUG
rnacentral:lncRNA from 1 species